rnacentral:misc_RNA from 1 species
UUUCGUAGGUGAACCUGCGGAAGGAUCAUUAUUGUAUAACCGAGGUGCGAGGGCUGUCGCUGACCCGAAAGGUCGUGCACGCCCGAGUGCCCUCACACACAUCCAUCUCACCCCUAUGUGCACAACCGCGUGGGUCCCCCUUUGGCUUGUUCGGAGGGGGGCUUACGUUUUCACACAAACUUUGUAUGCAGUGUAGAAUGUAUUUUUUGUUUUUGCGAUCACGCAAUCAAUACAACUUUCAACAACGGAUCUCUUGGCUCUC